CCUACGGGAGGCAGCAGUGGGGAAUAUUGCACAAUGGGGGGAACCCUGAUGCAGCAAUGCCGCGUGGGUGAAGAAGCACUUCGGUGCGUAAAGCUCUGUCAGCAGGGAAGAAAAUGACAGUACCUGGACAAUAAGCCCCGGCUAACUACGUGCCAGCCGCCGCGGUAAUACGUAGGGGGCAAGCGUUAUCCGGAUUUACUGGGGGGAAAGGGAGCGUAGGCGGCGUUGCAAGUAAGCUGUGAAAACCCGGGGCCCAACCCCGGGAGUGCAUUGGAAACUGCCAUGCUGGAGUGCCGGAGGGGUAGGCGGAAUUCCUGGUGUAGCGGUGAAAUGCGUAGAUAUUAGGAGGAACACCAGGGGCGAAGGCGGCUUACUGGACGGUAACUGACGCUGAGGCUCGAAGGCGUGGGGAGCGAACAGGAUUAGAUACCCGGGUAGUC
rnacentral:rRNA from 1 species